rnacentral:lncRNA from 1 species
GUGAUUUGUUCAAGCCCUUCACCUGUUAAUACAAUUUCAGGUUUGUGCGUCAAAACCCAAUAUCUACUGUCCACUACUAUCAAAAGGUGAGUGUGCAACUAACAUAGAACUCUGUACAAUGUUUUAGUUGUGUAAACACUAUUUAUCAAGCAGUUAAUGUUCCAUGAAUACAUUUUCAGAUUUCUACAAUAUGUACACGUCAAACUUCAAUAUCCAUUAUGAUCCUCUGCUCCAUGAAUCGUUUUUAUGAAGCAGCACAAAACCAAUUAAAAAGGUUUGUGCAUCAAAACCCAAUAUCUACUGUCCACUACUAUCAAAGGUGAGUGUGCAACUAACAUAGAACUCUGUUACAAUGUUUAGUUGUGUAAACACUAUUUAUCAAGCAGUUAAUGUUCCAUGAAUUACUAUUUUCCAGAUUUCUACAAUAUGUACACGUCAAACUUCAAUAUCCCAAAAAUGGAAUGUUGAGGUAAGUGGACUCAGUUGUGCAUGAUUACACAAAUAUUAAAAUGGUUUAUAUUUUAACCAGAAUAAAGGCAUUGUUAAAUUCAUCAACUUUAUGCAAGCACACGCACAUAAUCUUUUCAGACAUAUGAAAUCCACUGAAGUCAGAAUUUCUUUCAUACAAG